GCAUGUCCUAAUUGGCCGUGUGGGAGGAAGGAAUGUGUGUGGAAGAUAAGAUGCUGUGAUGCCAUUGUUUUAUCUCGUUUGCAUUGGAGUGUAAAGUACCUGUAAUUGCAGUGUGUGAGAAAGUUUAUUUUGUGAAAAUAUCGGUAAAUAAAAUUUGUAUACUGCCGCUUUGAAGUUGCACGUAAUCGCAUUUGCAGAAGAGCACGGAAAUCGGGCCGCGGAAAGAGAAUUUUCAGUAAGUGAAAAACGUGUAUGUGACUGGCGAAAACAAAAAGACAACUUGAAUAACAUGUGACGACAGCGGCGACUAAGAUGACGUUGACGUCCCGGCAAAUUAAUCUGAUGCAUCAGAAUCUAGUUCAGACAAUGAAUAGAUAAGUUGUGAGCAGCUGUGGUCACCGCCAUUCAGAUGCUUACAGCACGCAUGAAUGUGAAUACAUAGCUAUCCCAGCCUGGCGUAGCAAGGCCGGAAGGGCGGCCGGAGUCAAGCAAACCAGACUCGCACUGAAGGCUACCCCAGGGGUGGCCUGGUGGGGUCCAACACUGCCUCACUUACUGAGCAGCUUUAACAGUGCUCAGCUGGAAUGAAGACUUCUUGCUGAUCAUCUGACAUGAUUGGACCAGAAAACUCAUGGCUGAUGAGUUAAAGGAAGAGUGAUUCAACCAAGCCAGCAUCAAGUGAGACAGUGCAACAACACCAGCCAACUUCACCUGCUCGAAUCAACAUAACUACUUUAACAUUGAUGAUGAUCUGUUUUCCUGCGAGCCGUAUUUACUCCGAUUUUUAAUUUACGUUUCAACAUUGCCAGAAUUAAAAGUGACAAACUGUUGGAAAACUUCACAUUCAUUUGAGUGCUACACUACUUUAUUGCUGGGGGAGUUGUUUUACCUGAUUUAAUGGCUGCAUGAAUUUAUUAAUGUGUGAGAUUGUGGCAGUGAAUCCCUGGAAUCUUUAACCAUUAUUUAAAUCUUUUUUUAUAUAUUUUAGAGUCGCAACAUCUGUUUCAUCAUAGAUACAUACAUAAAGUACGCUUCUACUGUAUUACAUGGUGUUAGAUUAAUCACGACUAUUGAUUUAUACGCCAUUAAAACUAUGACGUUUACUUCUUUUAAUGGCCAUCAAAUGGUGUGUCUACAUUAUGCGGUGUUGUAGUCCAUGGUUGUUGACAUUUAUUUAUUUUUUCCCACUUCUGGUACGUGUGACAAAAUUAAUAAAAAUAACAUUUUGAUUUCAAGUUUUAAAUGACAAAUAUGCCAUGUUUUGAAUCGUUCACAAGAUUUUUCCGUCACUGUUUAGACAGACAGUAGCAAAAAAAAACUUUGAAUACUUGUUGCAUGGUUAAAAGGUUGCUUACUGUUAGGGAUAAAACCGAAAUAACACUGAAUAGCUUGUCAUAACACCACAUAACACCAAAAUGCUAGU